rnacentral:misc_RNA from 1 species
GAUGAAGAACGUAGCGAAAUGCGAUACUUGGUGUGAAUUGCAGAAUCCCGUGAACCAUCGAGUCUUUGAACGCAAGUUGCGCCCGAAGCCAUUAGGCCGAGGGCACGCCUGCCUGGGCGUCACACGUCGUUGCCCCCCCAUCUAAUCCUUCGGGAUUGCGGGGGGCGGAUGAUGGCCUCCCGUGCGCCUCGUCGCGCGGUUGGCGUAAAUGCCAAGUCCUCGGCGACGCACGCCACGACAAUCGGUGGUUGCGAAACCUCGGUUGCCCGUCGUGUGCGGUCGUCGCGCAUCGAGGGCUCGAAAAAAUUGCCGGGCUCCGGCUCGACUUUCAACGCGACCCCAGGUCAGGCGGGGUUACCCGCUGAAUUUAAGCAUAUCAAUAAGCGGAGGA